AGAUACAUUUGUUUGUUUGAAUUGAUAUUUCAGUUGUAGGCUAUAAUAGCGUAGGCCUAUGUCAUCAUAAUCAGUGUUAAUCAGCAUCACUUUCUUCACGUGUGUUAAUCUUCAAAUACAGCCGGGAACGUGCGCGCCUACUAAGCCUACUACUCAGUUUCCUCGUUUUUGUCAGCUAUUCAAAUGCAGUGUCAAACUUUCACACGGCGGACAGAAAGAGAGAAGUUGAGGACAAUAGAAGACCACAAAACUCGGGCAGUUGAACCAGGACUCCAGGAGGGCCUCUCUGUGUGAGAAAACCGACCUAAUGAUGAUGCAGUGUGGGAUGAGAGGGGACAUCAAUCACCGGUGAUUUUAAACGAUUGAGUUUUGGUCUGAAGACGGAGGCUGUGCCAGGAGCAUCUUCAUCAUCCUCCAUGUCUGAUGCCUCUUGUCCCUGCUGACCGCUGACGGCUCAACAUCCUCCAUCUGUUCUUCUGCUUGGAGCUUCACUCCCUUCUUCUUUCACUCAACCCUUCCUCCAUCCGUCUGUCUGUCCACCGGUCAUGAAUCCCUACAGACACACAAGUCCACCUGCUGACCCUCAUGAUAAUUCCCAAAAUCCAUCUCUGUCAGCCACCGUACCGUCUCCUCCGCUCAUCCAGACAGGUCAUAGCUCUGUGACAGUUUUGAGCCAUAACGUCCCUCACUAUCAGGCCUCCUCAGACCACAAUGGAGGAAACCUGGUCCUAUCACCAAACUCGGACCACUCCGCCUCAUUGCUUCCAGGGUCCAGCCUAGUUUCAGUCUCGUCUUUGGCUCAAAGUCCAUCUCCAGCUACCACACUGAACCCUUACCCUGCCCCCGGCACCCCCCCCUCCUGCCAGGUCUCGGUCAUCAUCCCGUCUCCAGACCUCCGCCCGUCUCCUCUGCCGUCUGAGUGCUCCGAGGACACCUGCCCGGACCUGGAGUGCUCCAUCUGCUUCAGCCAGUUCAACAACGUCUUCCGCUGUCCCAAGAUGCUUCAGUGCAAGCACACCUUCUGCCUGGAGUGCCUGGCACGCAUCAACGUCAAGUCGGCCGAGCCCAACUCCAUCCAGUGCCCGCUGUGCCGCGGCCUCACGCCCCUGCCCACUCUCGGCCUGCCCAAACUGGCCACAAACUCAGACAUGCUGUCCUACCUGCCGGCCGCCAUGCAGAGAGUCUACAGCAUCCGCUUCCUGCGCAACAAAGGGAAGCUGCAGGUCAAAAGGUCAUCUGAAGGUCCGCGGCAGUGGGGUCAGAGGUCGCUGACAUCUCUGAGGUCGAUGAACCUCUCUCUGGACGUGGGGCUUCCCAGCCCGCCUGCCGGGAGCCGCGGCGCCGAAGCGGGCGGCGUGGGCGGGGCUCUGUUCCGCCUGACGGGCCGGCCGGCGUGCCGGGCCUUCCUCCUGGCGUCCGUGGUGAUGAUGAUGGUGCUGCUGACGGGCAUCAUCAUCUUCCUCCUCACAUACAAAGCUGAUAAAAGUGGGUGACAUCACAUUUCUUCCUCCUGCUUUUAUUUUCAGUGGCGGAGAAGGUCACCGAACAGUAGAAUUCCACCGUCUGAAGUGAAAUAAAAAGCCAUCAUUUCUGGCUUUUAACGCUCCGAAGCCAAAAGGACACAAACGUCAACACUCAACUCAUGAGCUGAGAAAGUGAGAAGCGUAAAGACUUUCCACUCGUAGAUUUUUAUUGUUAAGUCCUUAAAAUGUACUCCCAAAAUGCAGCUGAGGUUGAAAGGUACAGUAUCUGUGAGACUGAGAAGCAGUGGCCUUUUAAUCUGUUUUACAGUACUUAAGUACAACUAAGCUUAAAAUGAUUUGCUAAAUGUAGCUGGACAUGAGAACCUUCUGCCUAAAGCAACAAAAUGGCGGUCGUGUAACAGCUGAGUUGGAAAAGCACUGGGAAGUGAGAAGCACUUUAAUCUUACCUACAGCCCUUAAGACUUCAAUCUUCAAUUACUUUAGGUUUUUUGGGAGGGGGGAAACGCACACAAUCACCACUUUUUAAUGUCUUGAAUUUCAUUUUACGAAAUGGCUGAUGUGAUGGUCAAGUGAUGGCAGAGAAGAUAUGUAGACGUGCUGUAUUAUUCUGAUUGAUCGCAGGUUUAUUAUAUUACAAGGUCAAAGUCUCUGGUGGCUCCCAUCCAGCUGCAGAUACGUCUAAAAUCAACUUGUGACUCCAGGGACUGAAUCUAAUUUCACUGUUACUUUGGGACAUAAAACUCUUAAAAUAUAAUGCGUAAGAAAAAACAAUACUACAUAAAGCUGUCUCCAGGCGGUGCCACCUUCUUCAUAUUUAAACUUCCUUUUGGCAGCUUUCAGCACUUUAAAGAGAGCCUAGCGACUGAAUUGUUACCUGCUUGUUUCUGUGUUCAGUCUUUCAAAGUGGCUGUUAUUUACAGGAGUCUUUCCUCCUGUUGCGCCUCUGCCCCUCGUAACCAAAUGCUGUAAACGGGAGCCAUGCAAAUAAAGAGUCAGUUACAGUCUGACACAGAGAGCACAGAAUUUCCAUAGAUGCUGGAAUAUUAUACAUGAUGGAAAUGAAUAUAGCUUCAUAGUGUAACUGAAUAGUUGACGCAAAUUACAGAAAUAUUUUUCCACUUCACCUCUAGAGCUGUCUCUCCAUGCAGAUAGUAUUCGUUUUUAUUCGUCCAGGUUUUCAGAUGAUUUUUGCCUCCACAUUGAUACAAUGGAGGAUGAUGGGAUUCCAUUUGAGGUGCUAAAAGCAUCAGAAUGCCUUCCCAUAAUUUAGUUUUCACAGUUUUAAAAAGUAGUCCUUGUUAAACUCUUGUUCCUGUUGAUUUUCCACAGUAACAGGGACCUUCUGUUGCAGUUUGAUUCAUUCUUUCUCAAGACUGCAAGCACCACAAAAUAAAUCCCAUCAUCCUCAAUGUCAUUGAUGUGGCGGCAGAAAUCUGAAAACCUGGACGAAUAAAACCAAAACUGUCUGCAUGUAUUUUGUAGUGGUGACUUUA